UAAUCUGAUAUGGUUUCUCCGUUUGGUUGGGGGUUAAGGGGUGGAAUAACCCCUUAAUCCCCAUUUUAUUUUCAAAUAUUUCUAAAAACGGGUGGGGUUAGCUAACCCCACCUAGCUAACUCCACCUCAAAUGGAUUAUUCCGGGUUAACUAACUCCACCUAAUCCCACCAAAUCCCAACUAAAUACUAUUUUUUAUUCAUAAUAAUCCACUAUCCUUCUUAUCUCACCUAUUCCAACCAAACACUAUUUUUCACUAUUUUGACUUAACUCUAACCUCUAACAAAACACAAAAAUAUUUUAACCCCACUUUAACCCUAAACUUAACUCUAUUCCUGAAAUAAUUAGUUUUUCCUUAACCCCGAACCAAACAGUAGUGAAUGAUUAGAAUGGUUAGUUGAUUCUCCAUCAGAUUUAGUAUUGGUUCUUUUUUUUCCUGAAACUCGAAGGGUUAGUAGUGUUUACUACAAUAGAUCAAACUCGCAAGCACCAACUAAUUUUCUUGACGGGUUAGAAAGGAUUCAAAGCAUAUUAAUUUUUAU
rnacentral:lncRNA from 1 species